CGGUACUGGUCUAGAAACAGUGCGCUGGGGGAACCAGACACUUCCGUCAGCAGCCGGUUUUAGGGAACAGACAGACCACCUGCCUCUGUAGCAAAGACCAUCACUAACUUCACAACAGGUGUCCUGCCUCCACUCCAACUGCGACAAGUGGAAAAUAAUCAUUUACGGGAAGCAGGACGGUGCUGCCUUGUGGCCGCAGAUUUGCACAAUCAAGACGCUUUCAGGUUUUGCAACAGAACCCGAGAGGUGGGGUCAGAGUCUGCUGUUGGGGAAAGAGCUGGCUGGGGACCAGGGAUGAGAGAGGUGCCUGAACUUUGGCCCAGCGUCGGGGUGAGCUGGCAGACAGCCGCUCCUGAGAACAGGCUGGCGUCAGGGGUUUCUGACUGGGUCUUUCACCUCCUCGUGUGACACUGCAGGCUGCUGGUCACCCUCUGGAUUGGCUGCCUCAGUCAAGUCCUUACCUCCGGUCCCAUCUGCUGGGCCAGGAUGUCACCUCUUUCCUCCUUUUCUGCGGUGAUAUGGUGCAUUGAGAAUAGCUGACAGUGACUUCGCACAAUCCAGUUCCUGCUAUAGAAUUCUGCAGUUUCGCCACGAGCCCAAAUAAGAGGAAAUCUGUCCUCCGCCUUGCUUGUUCCAGCAACUGAGGAUGCUACACUGGCUGCGCAUUUUGAGGAGGUUGUGCUCACCCUGAUGGUGUCGGCGGUGUGUUGAAUAAUAUAAAGGCAGCCGCAGCAGUAAAAUAACGAGGGUGAGCCCAUGUGAAUGAGGUGGGCCUGGAGGGACCAAAUCAGAGAUUCCCAAUUAAGGGUUCACAAACAAUGCGAAAUGGCAUGUUCAGGAUUGACCACUGAUAAGAAUGUUCCAGCUAAUUAAAACGUCAGGGUUGCCUGGUUUGCCAGGAUUUACAAUCAGCCUAGGAGGUAACACUUGUCCGCUGGUCAGUUUCUGCUGAUAAGAAGUUCCGCUUGACAGUUACUGAGGCCUUUGAUAAAUAAAAUAUGGGAAAACAGAUGAAUUAUUACUUAAUAAAUGCAGCGUUGUUUUCAGAGUGCAGAGGUUGUCAGCUGGCAGCCUGAGGGCGGGAGCCAAUCCUCGGACAUCUUCUCCUUGGUCUGUACAGGAGUUUUGGUUUUCUUUUACUAGUUUGAGCCGACAUGAAAGAAAGGAGAUAUUGCACACAUACACGCCCACAUACACACACCCCAAACCCAGACCUGGGGCUUCUCUUGCAAACUAGCCCCACUGGCUGCAUGCUUGUGGCUGCAGCAUAAGACGCUGUAGCUGCAUAUCAGCUGGUGCUCAUCAAUGGGACGUGGGGGCGCCACCCCUCUCAGCUUCGUGACACGGGUGCCGUGCUGGUGGCCAUGCAUCAGGCAUUUGCGCUGUGUCCUCACGCCUCUGUCUAAACUGGGAGGGAGAAAAGCUAGAACAAGGAUGUAUAUCAGGUUUUUUUUGGCUUCCAGCCUGUUUGCCUCAUUGACUUUAUCUGAUGGCCUCUUAAGGUGAGGGCUCAGCAAACUACGCCCACAGACCCAGUCUGGCCCGACACCUGUCUUCCUGGGUAAAGUUUCAUUAGAAUGCAGCCAUGCUCAUUUGUUUACAGAUUGUCCAUGGUUGCUUUCACAUUACCAUGGCAGAGCUGAGUAGCU
rnacentral:lncRNA from 1 species